ACUCGGCAUGGUCGAGGGGCAGCUCACGCGGCUCUCGGCCCCGUACGGAACGGAGUUCAGGCACCUCGCCGUGCG
rnacentral:tRNA from 1 species